GGAGAUUUAGCUCAGUGGUAGAGCGCUUGCCUAGCAAGCGCAAGGCCCUGGGUUCGGUCCUCAGCUCCA
rfam:Rattus norvegicus chromosome 12, whole genome shotgun sequence.